CACCUUUCUGCACUGUGGACUGCUUGUGCACUCUCCUUGAAGCAAUCUGAGCAGAAUGUUAUAUGAAAAAGGAGAGACUGCAUCGUAUUUCUGCCAUGCUGCUUGUCAGACAGAUCCAAAAAGCAAACUCUGGUGCUCUGGAGUAUCUGACGGAUUUGCAUGGGACCAACAUACGUGAUGUGUAGGAGCUCUGACCACUUCUGGUGCGACAUCUCUGUUUGGGCAACUCAAUCCACUAUUACGAUGAAAUGAACCUGAAAAAUCUCUCUUCUUUCAUUCAGAAGAUGAUCCUCAGCUCCCUCGUGCCCUCCUGGUGGCCAGGGCACUGAGUGCAAAAUCAAGAGUGCAAAAUAAAAACUGCUGUUUUCUCUUUUCUUCUGCGUUU
rnacentral:lncRNA from 1 species